ACGUUUUUUUCAUAGAGAUUUAGAUUUAAGGUUAGAAGAAUUGUGGAAGUCGUGAGACUUCCCUUUUUUUUCGCCUUACGCUUCUGACCCAUUAUUCUUUUUCACGGGGACAGGAGCAUAAAAAAGCCCUUUCGAGAGAAAGGGCUUUUU
rnacentral:sRNA from 1 species